UACGUAGGGUGCAAGCGUUGUCCGGAAUUAUUGGGCGUAAAGAGCUCGUAGGCGGUCUGUCGCGUCGGCUGUGAAAACCCGGAGCUCAACUCCGGGCCUGCAGUCGAUACGGGCAAACUGGAGUGUUGCAGGGGAGACUGGAAUUCCUGGUGUAGCGGUGAAAUGCGUAGAUAUCGAGAGGAACACCUGCGGCGAAGGCGGGUUGCUGGGCUGACACUGACGCUGAUGCGCGAAAGCCAGGGGAGCGAACGGG
rnacentral:rRNA from 1 species